CAGGUUGGCCAGGCGGUCGCGCCUUCCACGAAGGUGAGGAAAGUCCGGGCUCCGUAUGGCGCGGUGCUGGGUAACACCCAGGCGGGGAGACCCGACGGAAAAGGGCCACAGAAAAGCAGACAGCCGGGACAGUCAUUGUCCCGGUGAUGGUGAAAAGGUGGUGUAAGAGACCACCGGCGUCUGCGGCAACGCAGAUGGCCAGGUAACCCCCACCGGGAGCAAGGUCAAGCAGGGGCAAGGGCCGCCACGGCGGCCCACGGUGCAGCCAGUACCGUUGAAGCCUCGGGUAGACCGCAUGAGGCAAUGGGUAACCAUCGCCCUAGAUAGAUGAUCGCCGCCCCGUGUUCGGGGAACAGAACCCGGCUUAUCGGCUGACCUGGGCG
rnacentral:RNase_P_RNA from 1 species